AAUCAACGCUGGCGGCGUGCCUAACACAUGCAAGUCGAGCGCGAAAGUCCCGCAAGGGAUGAGUAGAGUGGCAAACGGGUGAGUAACACGUGGGUGACCUGCCUUCGAGCGGGGGAUAACGUCCCGAAAGGGACGCUAAUACCGCAUGACAUCCUGCCUUUGAAGAGGUGGAGAUCAAAGCUGGGGAUCGCAAGACCUAGCACUUGAAGAGGGGCCCGCGUCUGAUAGCUAGUUGGUGGGGUAACGGCUCACCAAGGCAACGAUCAGUAUCCGGCCUGAGAGGGCGGACGGACACACUGGGACUGAGACACGGCCCAGACUCCUACGGGAGGCAGCAGUGGGGAAUUGUUCGCAAUGGGCGCAAGCCUGACGACGCAACGCCGCGUGGAGGAUGAAGACC
rnacentral:rRNA from 1 species